GAUAAUGGCCGAAGUUAUGGAAAAAAGAGUCGAUUGAGCAGGUAGAAAAAAGUCGGGUAGCGGCCUUUUUUAUUCAGCCGACGAGGUACGUGCGGAAGUUAGUUUUGAUCGCAUCAGUGCAGUUCGUGUCAGAGACUUUUGCAUCCCAAGAGUGCAGAUAAAAUGGUGUUCAUUUAAAGUCUUUUGGAUCACUGCUUUGUCCAUCUUCACAAUUUUUGUGCUUAGAAAGUAUCGACAUUCUUCACACGUACGUUGAAUUUAAAAUAGAAAUGAAUAAUAAAUGUAUUUUUCCCAUAUAUACAAUGUUAUAUACAACCUCAAACAAAAAGUUACGGCGCCUGAAGUAUUAUACCAAAAUUGUAAACUGAAGAAUAUUUCAAAUUUGUUAUACAACUAAAUAAUUAUACCAAUAAACUUUAUAAUAUUAA